rnacentral:rRNA from 1 species
CGCAUCUGUGCAUGCAGCAUAUCAAUAAGCGGAGGAAAAGAAACUAACAAGGAUUCCCUUAGUAACGGCGAGUGAAGCGGGAAGAGCUCAAAUUUGAAAUCUUCAAGGUUUUACCUUGACGAAUUGUAGUUUAAAGAAGUGUUUUCUGUUCGAAGUUUUGGUAAAAGUUCUUUGGAAUAGGACAUCAUAGAGGGUGAGAAUCCCGUAUUUGACCAUUAUUUUCAGCUGUGUGAUACACUUUCAAAGAGUCGGAUUGUUUGGGAAUGCAGUCCAAAAUGGGUGGUAAAUUUCAUCUAAAGCUAAAUAUUGGCGAGAGACCGAUAGCGAACAAGUACCGUGAGGGAAAGAUGAAAAGAACUUUGAAAAGAGAGUUAAACAGUACGUGAAAUUGUCAAAAGGGAAGCGUUUGACACCAGUGUUGUUUUCUCGAAAAUCAAUUAAAAAGAGUUGGAUUUUGUGUUGUAUUGACCUUAACAGCUUGCUUCACUCUUUUCCAGCUUUUUUUAAUGCACUUUUCGUUUAACAAGUCAACAUCAGUUUCUUUUGUUGUAAAAGGGUCAUUGGAAGGUGGCUUUCUCUUCGGAGAAAGUGUUUAUAGCCUUUGAUCUCUGCAAUCGGAGAGACUGAGGUCUGCAGCGUAGAUCCUUCGGGGUUAGAUACAUUUGUGCUAAGCUACAGCUUUUCAUAGACAACUUGUUGACUAUGUUUAGUCUUGUGACUUACCCGCUUAUGCUAUUUUACCUACGCUUAGGAUGUUGAUAUGCAUGACUGAUAU